rnacentral:rRNA from 1 species
CCUACGGGAGGCAGCAGUAGGGAAUCUUUCACAAUGGGCGAAAGCCUGAUGGAGCAACGCCGCGUGCAGGAUGAAGGCCUUCGGGUUGUAAACUGCUGUUAUAAGCGAGAAAUAUGAUGGUAACUUAUGAAUAACGAUCGGCUAACUACGUGCCAGCAGCCGCGGUCAUACGUAGGAUCCGAGCAUUAUCCGGAGUGGCUGGGUGUAAAGAGUUGCGUAGGUGGGAUAAUAAGUAGCUAGUGAAAACUGGUGGCUCAACCAUUCAGACUAUUAGCUAAACUGUUAAGCUCGAGACCGUUAGGGGUAACUGGAAUUUCUAGUGUAGGAGUGAAAUGCGUAGAUAUUAGAAGGAACACCAGUGGCGUAGGCAGGUUACUGGGACGGUUCUGACACUAAGGCACGAAAGCGUAGGGAGCAAACGGGAUUAGAUACCCCUGUAGUC